UUAAAUUGGUUUUCUUCAAAAGUUAUGAUUCUACCUUGAUGGCUAGGUGAACCAAUUUUUGCAAAGAAGAGUACUCAUAUAAUUCCACAAUAUCUUGGAUUCAUCUCCUUAAACCACUCCCAAACCUAGCUAUCUUUGACUCCUCACUAUCAUGCAUAUUAAUUUUGGUCAAAGUGGUUUCUAAGUCUUUAAAAUAUUCAUGUACACUCCUAGGUCCUUGUUGAAGCCGUUGGAUAUUCAAGAAGAGUUUCUUCCUAUAAUGAGGAGGAACAAACCACGCACACAUGCAUUCUUUUAAAUCAUACCAAAAGACCACGACCGACCUCUUGUUCAAACCAAUGUCCAUUACAGUUUGAUGUCACCACUGCAUGGCAUAAUCUAAAAACUCUAGGAAAGCUAACUUAACAUUUUGGUCCUCUUGGACCUCAUACACAUUGAAAAUUUGUUCUACUUUAACUUCUCAUCCUAAAUAUACAUUGGGAUCACUUUCCACAUUAGCUUCUCUUCACAGGCCAUUAUGAAGUUCUCUCUCAAAAACUCUUCACUCUCUCCUGCAAAAGUAGUAGCCACAGCACCACACUCCCGCG
rnacentral:lncRNA from 1 species